AACGUAGGACGCAAGCAUUAUCCGGAGUUACUGGGCGUAAAGGGCGCGUAGGCGGUCGUGACAAGUCACUUGUGAAAUCUCCGGGCUUAACUCGGAACGGUCAAGUGAUACUGUCGGACUAGAGUACAGAAGGGGCAACUGGAAUUCUCGGUGUAGCGGUGAAAUGCGUAGAUAUCGAGAGGAACACCUGCGGCGAAGGCGGGUUGCUGGGCUGAUACUGACGCUGAGGCGCGAAAGCCAGGGGAGCGAACGGG
rnacentral:rRNA from 1 species